rnacentral:rRNA from 1 species
UACGUAGGGUGCGAGCGUUGUCCGGAAUUAUUGGGCGUAAAGAGCUCGUAGGCGGUGUGUCACGUCGGCCGUGAAAACCUGCAGCUUAACUGUGGGCGUGCGGUCGAUACGGGCAUCACUGGAGUUCGGCAGGGGAGACUGGAAUUCCUGGUGUAGCGGUGAAAUGCGCAGAUAUCAGGAGGAACACCGAUGGCGAAGGCAGUUCUCUGGGCCGUAACUGACACUGAGGGACGAAAGCUAGGGGAGCGAAUGGG